AACGAACGCUGGCGGCAGGCUUCAUACAUGCAAGUCGAACGGGUGUAGCAAUACAUCAGUGGCGCACGGGUGCGUAACGCGUGGGAAUAUGCCCUUUGGUACGGGACAACAUUUGGAAACGAAUGCUAAUACCGUAUAAUAUCUGCGGAUCAAAGAUUUAUCGCCAAAGGAUUAGCCCGCGUUGGAUUAGGUAGUUGGUGGGGUAAUGGCUCACCAAGCCGACGAUCCAUAGCUGGUCUGAGAGGAUGAUCAGCCACACUGGGACUGAGACACGGCCCAGACUCCUACGGGAGGCAGCAGUAAGGAAUAUUGGACAAUGGAGGAAACUCUGAUCCAGCCAUGCCGCGUGAGUGAAGAAGGCCUUCGGGUUGUAAAGCUCUUUUAUCCCUGACGAUAAUGACGGUAGGGGAAGAAAAAGCCACGGCUAACUUCGUACCAGCAGCCGCGGUAA
rnacentral:rRNA from 1 species